CUGUACAGAAACCCUUUUAGUCAAAAAGACUUAAUUGUGCCCAGUGUGCAGUGGCUGCACACAGUAACUUCCUCGGUAGUGUAUGCAGCCUGUUGCUUGUAUAGGCUGCCCUAUGGGACCUUGGAGACACUC
ensembl:snoRNA SNORA70 Small nucleolar RNA SNORA70